rnacentral:rRNA from 1 species
AUUGAACGCUGGCGGCAUGCCUUACACAUGCAAGUCGAACGGCAGCGGACCUUCGGGUGCCGGCGAGUGGCGAACGGGUGAGUAAUGCAUCGGAACGUACCCUUCAGUGGGGGAUAACGUAGCGAAAGUUACGCUAAUACCGCAUAUUCUGUGAGCAGGAAAGCAGGGGAUCGCAAGACCUUGCGCUGAUUGAGCUGCCGAUGUCAGAUUAGCUAGUUGGUGAGGUAAAGGCGCACCAAGGCGACGAUCUGUAGCGGGUCUGAGAGGAUGAUCCGCCACACUGGGACUGAGACACGGCCCAGACUCCUACGGGAGGCAGCAGUGGGGAAUUUUGGACAAUGGGGGCAACCCUGAUCCAGCCAUGCCGCGUGAGUGAAGAAGGCCUUCGGGUUGUAAAGCUCUUUCGGCCGGGAAGAAAUCGCACAGGCUAAUACCUUGUGUGGAUGACGGUACCGGAAUAAGAAGCACCGGCUAACUACGUGCCAGCCGCCGCGGUAAGAC